GAAAUGCGAUAAGUAAUGUGAAUUGCAGAAUUCAGUGAAUCAUCGAAUCUUUGAACGCACCUUGCGCUCCUUGGUAUUCCUUGGAGCAUGCCUGUUUGAGUAUCAUGAAAUCUUCAAAGUAAAUCUUUUGUUAACUCAAUUGGUUUCUACUUUGGUAUUGGAGGUCUUUGCAGCUUCACACCUGCUCCUCUUUGUUCAUUAGCUGGAUCUCAGUGUUAUGCUUGGUUCCACUCGGCGUGAUAAGUUAUCUAUCGCUGAGGACACUGUAAAAGGUGGCCAAGGUAAAUGCAGAUGAACCGCUUCUAAUAGUCCAUUGACUUGGACAAUACUUUUAUGAUCUGAUCUCAAAUCAGGUAGGACUACCCGCUGAAGUUAAGC
rnacentral:misc_RNA from 1 species